GCAGCAUUUACCCCAAGCAGAACUAUAUUUCUUUGGCCAGAAGACUUCCUUUAAAGUAUGUUAUAGUUCAAGUGUAUUAGCUAGGAAUACUCUCAACUUUUUUUUUUCUUUUUUCUUGUUCUUUUUGUGGAAGGUUUCUUUAUUUCAUUGUAAUUUCUUUUUCUUUCUCUCUUUCUUUUCUGUUUUUUUCUCCUUCUGUCCCUCCCUCCUUCCUCCUUUCUCCUUUCUCCUUUCAUUCUUUCUUUCUCUUUCUUUCUUUUCUUUCUUUCAUUCUUUCUUUCUUUCCUCUCUUCUUUCUUUUUUUCUGUCUUUCUUUUUCUCUUUCCAUCCUUCCCUCCCUCCCUCCCUCCCUCCCUCCCUCCCUCCCUCCCUCCCUCCCUCCCUCCCUCCCUUCCUUCCUUCCUUCCUUCCUUCCUUCCUUCCUUCCUUCCUUCCUUCCUUCCUUCCUCCUCUCUUUUGACAGCGUCUCCCUCUUUCACCUCCACUGGAGUGUAGUGGUAUAGCUACAGCUCACUGCAGCCUUGACUUCCUGGCCUCAAGCCUUCCUCUUACCUCAGCCUCUAGAGCAGGUAAGACUACAGGCUCAUGAUCAUAUUUCGGUAAUUGGAACACAGCCAUUCCAAGGCUUUUAGCAGUUUCUUGUACAUUAAUCAUCUUGUUCCUGUCUAGACACUAGCUAUGAAUGUGAAGAAGCCAUUCUGGACAUUCCAGACCCAGCAGAUGCCACAUGGAACAGUACUGAGGUCCAAAACACAUGGUUUUCCACCAUAUCCUGACAAUUGAACUACCCUGGCUGAAGCCCAGACAUCAUGGCACAAAGACAAGCUGUCAUCACUGAACCCUGACAAAGUUCUUGACCCACAGAAUUGUAAGCCUAAUAAAAGUGGAUUUUUAAAAAAAU
rnacentral:lncRNA from 10 species